UAAUUGUGGAAGAUAAUCAUACUCACUAGAAUGGCAAGAAACUUAUAAUACCUUUAACUUUUUAAAUGAUAAACAUAAAUCAUGCAUGGCUGGGUUCGGAAACAUUCAUAUCAUGCUCUGAAUAGAUUUUGUGAAGAACACUUUGACGAAGCUUCCUCUUACCAUAGCAUGACAUCAUUAUUAAGUAAUUUGUAUUCAUUUCCUUUUUAAGAGUUUCAAAAGUCGUAUGUAUAGUCAAGAAUUAUUUCAACCUUCGCAUGGGCGACAAAGUAACAUUAUACCAGGGUAGCACAACUGAAAAGAGUUCCACAAAUCUUGUAGUAAUUGAAUCUUAGAAAAAACACCUUAAUUUAAAAGAAACUACACUGGUUGUUUGGUUUUUUUAAAGUAACUAUGUUAUUUCUUAAUACAUUCUAAUAAUUGUUCUUCUUUUCAGUUGACAUAAAAUUCUUGCAAUAGCAACUGAGAAAUUAUAUAAGGAAGUUCAGGGGCUGAGGAAUUUAAAUUGUUUUAAAAGGUAGAAAGGAAAAUUAACACAAUAAUUCCAUAUCAAAAAGAAAACUAAUAUAAUAAUAUGUCCGCAUCAGGAAGGAUUGAAUUCAGUGACUGAUUACAACCAUUUGAUGAACAAAUUUGCAAAUGUUCAAAAAAGUCAAGGAGGAGUAGUACCGAAACUUUGAAACUUAAAGCAAAACAUAGCAUCAAUGCAGAAAAUAUUUAAGGUGUUUAGCUCAUCUUUAAUAAUGAUCCAAAUAUGAUUUUCCCAACCGCCUUGUCGACCCAUUACACAAGUCCAUAUUCUUUAGAGUAUGCGUUCUGAUCGUAAGGCCUCUCAAGAAGAGCUUUGACGUUUAUCCGGAAGUAAGGCAUAGUCUUUAUCUACAUCAGCUGCCUCACCCUUACAACACCUCUUUAUUGCACCAUUCGCAAGCCCUUUUUCCUUUUGAGUAAAAAGACCAGAAGGCUCAAUAUCACUAUCAUUUUCUAAGAUAGUUCUUGAAAAAUGGCUGACUUUCUACUUUAUGUAAAUCCUUCUCAUCCCUGGUGUCCUGCUGAUUUCCCCAUCAUAAAUGUUCAUACUCUUCAUCAGAUCCAUCUUCGUUCUCGUACUCUACAAACACAGCAGACCCAUCCCUUCUAUCAAUUUUAAGCACAUAUGAGUUCCCUUUUGGCUUAACAUUAGCCAAAAACUUCUUGUAAUUUGGAUCAUCCUCAGCCUCCUCUUCGUCCUCAUACUCAUCCACAUCAUUAUUAAGCUUAUCUCUAACAAUGGCGGGACCUUCAUUCCCGCCUUCAGUUGUGGACUCUUUAUGAUAGUCAAGGGAAAGCAUAAAAAAAUGUGCAUAAUCUCCAGCAAUAUUCGUCAUUUUCAAGAUUUUCUUCUCCCUACAUCUCUAUAAUUUUGCUGAUUGAUAGUUGGUGUGAGAUCUGUCAGCCUGCUCUGGCCCUCUACUGUUGACGACAAGAAGACACCAUUCGAUUGAGAUCCAGCAUUCUUGCCUUAUCAGGCAAUAAUGAAUUAUUCAAUUGCAGGGAAGUACACCAAUGACUAUAGGGUUAUAUCAUGUUGUUGAAUGCUGCACUAAGAGUUCACAAACUCGAAUUUUGAAGAUAUUUUCCGGAAAAGACCAAUAUGGUGAUGAAUUGCAGACAGUGUUCAUUUGAGGUGGGAAGUUAGAUGCUAAAGAAGUUCGUCCUCUGUUUUGACAUAUCUAUAUAUCGUGGAGUAAAAAACUUCUGAAGUUCUCAAGACUGAUUGAUUAUGCAAAAAAGAAUCCCCUAUUUCAAUUGUUGCGGAGAAUCCAAUUACUAUGUCUUUUGGUACAAUCUCAUGGUAACAAAAGAAUUGCUUUUCAUCUGCAGAUUAUGUGAUUUAGUUAAGUCCGAUAUAAAAGUAUUCACUCGGAUCAACUAAAGGAAAUAAUUACAAGGCAUAGAGUGAACAAAUAUAAAGGUGAUUGUGAUCAAAUCACUUAGGUCAGUGAGGACUUAUACCAAUUGGACUUCAACGGGACCGGAUCCCCGCACUGUAAUUGUUUAUUUGUUUGCCUAUAUUUAGUGUAUUGUUAAUUACACAUCUUCUUUCUUUAUCUUUUGUUACUUUGCAGAUGUUGGAGUUAAGCAAGUCAAUCUGGGAAUCAGAUUUGUUCUUAGUGUAUGCCGAAUUUGACUAUAUCUCUAUGGGGUUUAGUUAAUAAUUCUUUAGACAAGGGAAUUGACUGAUAAUGGUGACAAAUAUUUAUGCUUCAGGCGUUAUUCUACUGGAGAUUUUGACGAGAAGAAGACCAGUGAGGAGCAAAAGGGAAAGCUAUUGCUUCCUGAUCAACUAUGAUUUUUAUGGAAUUUGUUUCUAUGGACAUUACUUUUGCGAAUAGUUCAUCAAAAACUGAUGUUGACAACUGACUGUGACUUUAAAUUGUUGAAAAUGUUAAUCUAAUUGCAAGUUCUUAGUUUGCU